GUGCCAGCAGCCGCGGUAAUUCCAGCUCCAAUAGCGUAUAUUAAAGUUGUUGUGGUUAAAAAGCUCGUAGUUGAACCUUGGGCCUGGCUGGCCGGUCCGCCUCACCGCGUGCACUGGUCCGGCCGGGCCUUUCCCUCUGUGGAACCCCAUACCCUUCACUGGGCGUGGCGGGGAAACAGGACAUUUACUUUGAAAAAAUUAGAGUGCUCCAGGCAGGCCUAUGCUCGAAUACAUUAGCAUGGAAUAAUAAAAUAGGACGCGCGGUUCUAUUUUGUUGGUUUAUAGGACCGCCGUAAUGAUUAAUAGGGACAGUCGGGGGCAUCAGUAUUCAACUGUCAGAGGUGAAAUUCUUGGAUCAGUUGAAGACUAACUACUGCGAAAGCAUUUGCCAAGGAUGUUUUCAUUAAUCAGGAACGAAAGUUAGGGGAUCGAAGACGAUCAGAUACCGUCGUAGUCUUAACCAUAAACUAUGCCGACUAGGGAUCGGACGGUGUUAUUCAUGACCCGUUCGGCACCUUACGAGAAAUCAAAGUGCUUGGGCUCCAGGGGGAGUAUGGUCGCAAGGCUGAAACUUAGAGAAAUUGACGGAAGGGCACCACCAGGGGUGGAGCCUGCGGCUUAAUUUGACUCAACACGGGGAAACUCACCAGGUCCAGACACAAUAAGGAUUGACAGAUUGAGAGCUCUUUCUUGAUUUUGUGGUGGUGUGCAUGGCCGUUCUUAGUUGGUGGGGUGACUUGUCUGCUUAAUUGCGAUAACGAACGAGACCUUAACCUGCUAAAUAGCCCGCAUUGCUCCGGCAGUGCGCUGGCUUCUUAGAGGGACUUUCG
rnacentral:rRNA from 1 species